AUUGAACGCUGGCGGAAUGCUUUACACAUGCAAGUCGAACGGUAGAGGGGGCAACCCCUCGAGAGUGGCGAACGGGUGAGUAAUAUAUCGGAGCGUGCCCAGUCGUGGGGGAUAACGUAGCGAAAGUUACGCUAAUACCGCAUACGAUCUAAGGAUGAAAGCGGGGGAUUGCAAGACCUCGCGCGAUUGGAGCGGCCGAUAUCAGAUUAGGUAGUUGGUGGGGUAAAGGCUCACCAAGCCAACGAUCUGUAGCUGGUCUGAGAGGACGACCAGCCACACUGGAACUGAGACACGGUCCAGACUCCUACGGGAGGCAGCAGUGGGGAAUUUUGGACAAUGGACGCAAGUCUGAUCCAGCCAUUCCGCGUGCAGGAUGAAGGCCCUCGGGUUGUAAACUGCUUUUGUACGGAACGAAAAGGUCUCUCUUAAUACGGGGGACUCAUGACGGUACCGUAAGAAUAAGCACCGGCUAACUACGUGCCAGCCGCCGCGGUAAAAC
rnacentral:rRNA from 1 species